rnacentral:rRNA from 2 species
UACGAAGGGGGCUAGCGUUGCUCGGAAUUACUGGGCGUAAAGGGCGCGUAGGCGGAUAUCUAAGUUGGGGGUGAAAUCCCGGGGCUCAACCUCGGAAUUGCCUUCAAAACUGGAUAUCUUGAGUUCGGGAGAGGUGAGUGGAACUCCGAGUGUAGAGGUGAAAUUCGUAGAUAUUCGGAAGAACACCAGUGGCGAAGGCGACUCACUGGCCCGAUACUGACGCUGAGGCGCGAAAGCGUGGGGAGCAAACAGG